rnacentral:rRNA from 1 species
GUGCCAGCCGCCGCGGUAAUUCCAGCUCCAAUAGCGUAUAUUAAAGUUGUUGUGGUUAAAAAGCUCGUAGUUGGAUCUCGGCGGACUGAGGGCGGUUUGCUUGCUAGUAUUACUGCCCUAUAGUCCGUAGUUUUGCCAGAGGUUUCGGGGUGCUCUUAAUCGAGUGUCCCGGGAUGCUGGCAGGUUUACUUUGAAAAAAUUAGAGUGCUCAAAGCAGGCUAUUACGCCUGAAUAUUCGUGCAUGGAAUAAUAGAAUAGGAAGUCGUUUCUAUUUUGUUGGUUUUCGGAAAUCGACUUAAUGAUUAAUAGGGACAGUCGGGGGCAUUUGUAUUCAAACGACAGAGGUGAAAUUCUUGGACCGUUUGAAGACAAACUACUGCGAAAGCAUUUGCCAAGAAUGUUUUCAUUAAUCAAGAACGAAAGUUAAAGGUUCGAAGGCGAUUAGAUACCGCCCUAGUUUUAACCAUAAACGAUGCCAGCUAGCGAUCUGCGGACGUUUUUUUUGUAGACUCCGCAGGAAGCUUCCGGGAAACCAAAGCAUUUGGGUUCCAGGGGAAGUAUGGUUGCAAAGCUGAAACUUAAAGGAAUUGACGGAAGGGCACCACCAGGAGUGGAGCCUGUGGCUUAAUUUGACUCAACACGGGAAAUCUCACCAGGCCCGGACACUGGAAGGAUUGACAGAUUGAUAGCUCUUU